UAGCGAAGGGGGCUAGCGUUGCUCGGAAUGACUGGGCGUAAAGGGCGCGUAGGCGGAUGGCACAGUCAGAUGUGAAAUUCCCGGGCUUAACCUGGGGGCUGCAUUUGAUACGUGUGAUCUAGAGUGAGGAAGAGGGUCGUGGAAUUCCCAGUGUAGAGGUGAAAUUCGUAGAUAUUGGGAAGAACACCGGUGGCGAAGGCGGCGACCUGGUCCUUGACUGACGCUGAGGCGCGAAAGCGUGGGGAGCAAACAGG
rnacentral:rRNA from 1 species